CCCACCCACUCCCACUGUGAGAUUGAAAAUACAACGGCUAUGGAUAUUUAUUUACGAUUCUGCGAUUCAACCGUGAAACGUACCGAAUAUAUUUCAGCCGGGUCACGAGAAAAAGCUCGAUUGGUUGAUUAAAAAUCGGGCUUUCGGAUUUCAGGUUCCCGUACAGUGAAAUCGGACGGGGAAAACGAUUCUUCGGCGUGCUCGCGAUUUUUACGUCUCCUGUCGUGGAAAAUUCCACACGAGGCCUGCAUUCCAUUGCGCGCAGAACUUUACGAAACAUAUCCAACGGUAUUCAAACAGGCUUGUUGAAUGCUGUUGAAAUUUUUUCGAACCCUCUCCUUCUUAAGAUGUUCUACGUUCACACUUGUUGGA